rnacentral:ncRNA from 1 species
AAGCUAGGGGAGCCGUAAGGCUGAGAAAAUUCUUAUUUGACCCUUGAACCUGAUUCGGAUAAUACCGACGUAGGGAAGCUGUU